GGUUAAGCGAAUAAGCGUACACGGUGGAUGCCUAGGCAAUCAGAGGCGAUGAAGGACGUGCUAAUCUGCGAAAAGCGUCGGUAAGGUGAUAUGAACCGUUAUACCCGACGAUAUCCGAAUGGGGAAACCCAGUAUCCAAUGGAUACUAUCAUUAACUGAAUCCAUAGGUUAAUGAGGCGAACCGGGAGAACUGAAACAUCUCAGUACCCCGAGGAAAAGAAAUCAACCGAGAUUCCCCUAGUAGCGGCGAGCGAACGGGGAGCAGCCCAGAGUCUUAAUCAAUAGCAGUGUCAGGAGAACGGUCUGGAAAGUCCGGCAGUAAAGGGUGAUAGCCCCGUAUCUGAAGAUGCUGUUAUUGUGAACUCGACGAGUAGGGCGGGACACGUGUUAUCCUGUCUGAAUAUGGGGGGACCAUCCUCCAAGGCUAAAUACUCCUGAUUGACCGAUAGUGAACCAGUACCGUGAGGGAAAGGCGAAAAGAACCCCGGCGAGGGGAGUGAAAAAGAACCUGAAACCGUGUACGUACAAGCAGUAGGAGCCUCUUUAUGGGGUGACUGCGUACCUUUUGUAUAAUGGGUCAGCGACUUAUAUUCUGUAGCAAGGUUAACCGUAUAGGGGAGCCGUAGGGAAACCGAGUCUUAACUGGGCGAAUGAGUUGCAGGGUAUAGACCCGAAACCCGGUGAUCUAUCCAUGGGCAGGUUGAAGGUUGGGUAACACUAACUGGAGGACCGAACCGACUAAUGUUGAAAAAUUAGCGGAUGACUUGUGGAUGGGGGUGAAAGGCCAAUCAAACCGGGAGAUAGCUGGUUCUCCCCGAAAGCUAUUUAGGUAGCGCCUCGUGAACUCAUCUUCGGGGGUAGAGCACUGUUUCGACUAGGGGGUCAUCCCGACUUACCAACUCGAUGCAAACUGCGAAUACCGAAGAAUGUUAUCACGGGAGACACACGGCGGGUGCUAACGUCCGUCGUGAAGAGGGAAACAACCCAGACCGCCAGCUAAGGUCCCAAAGUCAUGGUUAAGUGGGAAACGAAGUGGGAAGGCUCAGACAGCCAGGAUGUUGGCUUAGAAGCAGCCAUCAUUUAAAGAAAGCGUAAUAGCUCACUGGUCGAGUCGGCCCGCGCGGAAGAUGUAACGGGGCUAAACCAUGCACCGAAGCUGCGGCAGCGACACAAAGUGUUGUUGGGUAGGGGAGCGUUCUGUAAGCCUGCGAAGGUGUACUGUGAGGUAUGCUGGAGGUAUCAGAAGUGCGAAUGCUGACAUAAGUAACGAUAAUGCGGGUGAAAAACCCGCACGCCGGAAGACCAAGGGUUCCUGUCCAACGUUAAUCGGGGCAGGGUGAGUCGACCCCUAAGGCGAGGCUGAAAAGCGUAGUCGAUGGGAAACGGGUUAAUAUUCCCGUACUGGUGGUAACUGCGAUGGGGGAACGGAGAAGGCUAGGUUGUCCGGGCGACGGUCGUCCCGGUUCAAGCAGGUAGGCAGAGUGAUUAGGCAAAUCCGGUCACUUAAUGCUGAGAUGUGAUGACGAACCACUAAGGUGGUGAAGCAAUUGAUGCCCCGCUUCCAGGAAAAGCCUCUAAGCUUCAGGUUACCAACAAUCGUACCCCAAACCGACACAGGUGGUCAGGUAGAGAAUACUCAGGCGCUUGAGAGAACUCGGGUGAAGGAACUAGGCAAAAUGGUGCCGUAACUUCGGGAGAAGGCACGCUGGCGGUAGGUAAAGUCCCUCGCGGACAGAGCUGAAGCCAGUCGAAGAUACCAGCUGGCUGCAACUGUUUAUUAAAAACACAGCACUGUGCAAACACGAAAGUGGACGUAUACGGUGUGACGCCUGCCCGGUGCUGGAAGGUUAAUUGAUGGGGUUAGCCGUAAGGCGAAGCUCCUGAUCGAAGCCCCAGUAAACGGCGGCCGUAACUAUAACGGUCCUAAGGUAGCGAAAUUCCUUGUCGGGUAAGUUCCGACCUGCACGAAUGGCGUAAUGAUGGCCAGGCUGUCUCCACCCGAGACUCAGUGAAAUUGAACUCGCUGUGAAGAUGCAGUGUACCCGCGGCAAGACGGAAAGACCCCGUGAACCUUUACUAUAGCUUGACACUGAACAUUGAGCCUUGAUGUGUAGGAUAGGUGGGAGGCUUUGAAGUGUGGACGCCAGUCUGCAUGGAGCCAACCUUGAAAUACCACCCUUUAACGUUUGAUGUUCUAACCUAGGCCCAUAAACUGGGUCGGGGACCGUGUCUGGUGGGUAGUUUGACUGGGGCGGUCUCCUCCUAAAGAGUAACGGAGGAGCACGAAGGUUGGCUAAGCAUGGUCGGACAUCAUGCGGUUAGUGCAAAGGCAUAAGCCAGCUUGACUGCGAGAGUGACGGCUCGAGCAGGUACGAAAGUAGGUCUUAGUGAUCCGGUGGUUCUGAAUGGAAGGGCCAUCGCUCAACGGAUAAAAGGUACUCCGGGGAUAACAGGCUGAUACCGCCCAAGAGUUCAUAUCGACGGCGGUGUUUGGCACCUCGAUGUCGGCUCAUCACAUCCUGGGGCUGAAGUAGGUCCCAAGGGUAUGGCUGUUCGCCAUUUAAAGUGGUACGCGAGCUGGGUUUAGAACGUCGUGAGACAGUUCGGUCCCUAUCUGCCGUGGGCGUUGGAAGAUUGAGAGGGGUUGCUCCUAGUACGAGAGGACCGGAGUGAACGCACCACUGGUGUUCGGGUUGUCAUGCCAAUGGCAUUGCCCGGUAGCUAAGUGCGGAAGAGAUAACCGCUGAAAGCAUCUAAGCGGGAAACUUGCCUCGAGAUGAGUCUUCCCUGUCGCUUUAAGCGACCUAAAGGAACGUUUAAGACUAAGACGUUGAUAGGCUGGGUGUGUAAGCGUAGCGAUACGUUGAGCUAACCAGUACUAAUGAACCGUGAGGCUUAACCUG
rnacentral:rRNA from 1 species